AGAGAACAAACUACCAAUUAACGAGCGAGGAAACAGGGCCAGAGAAUUGGAACAAAAUACAAGGCUGCCUCUGAAAGGAAUAUCUUUGUGCUGAUGUGUCCAUCAAGAGAACAUACACAGAAGUGACACUUGCCAGUAAUUUGCAAGCAGAUGGAACUUCAAUAUGGCAAUAGAGAAAGAAUCAAUUAGACCAGAGUCUCCUCAGGAAGACUUUCUAUAGCGUAAUUAUCUCUCCAAUUAAAGAGCAACCAAGGGACAACUGAACUGGAGGUUCUGCAGAAUUACAACUAAGCACGCAGCCGAGGAAUCUACUCAGCUUUGAUCUCUUAUCGCUCUGCACACACAGCCCUUUCUCUGUAAGGCUAGCUGCUCUCAGCAUCACUGUGUCUAAUCAAACGUGUCACACCUCCACUGAGAAAAUAUUUACUGGAUAGCUACUAGACAUAAGGAUGCAGAAAUGAAUUAGAAAAAUUCCUCGCCCUUGUUCAAAGCUAUGCUGGCUCUUAGAACAUCUGAGCCCCCACUGUUUCAUCUUUAGAGGAUCCCAGCUGCUGGGGUGUGAGGCCAGUGCUGGAGCCAGCAGUCUCUGACCCAGAAGGGACCUGAGGUGCUAAAGAAAAGGGUACAAGCUGGAAAAGGGGAAAAUGAAUCAUGCUACAGGCCAAGUGUCCAUCACUGAUUCCCAGAGAUGCCCUUUGUGUGGUAGGCACUUCCAUGUGGACUCGCUACAGAGUUUGGAGUUCCUGAACAACAUGGACAGUGUUAAUUUGGAUUCCAUGCUUCAUGGCACAGAAUUGGAGCACUAACUACUCAGUGAUGACUUUCUCUUCCUCUAGCUAAGGUCAUAAGACCCUAAUUCCAGAGGGCCCUACCCUAUAACCAGAAGGAAGAACUAUUGCACAGAGAAUCUAAGAAGAAUCUAGACAGACAGCCCUUGCUGGAUUUCUCCACUCUGUUAGCAUUCGAUCAUUUGCCUUUUGUCCAGUCAUAUUUCUGCAUGGCUGUCCAUACUUUGUUGAACCUAAGCACAAAAUGGAAAGUUUUCCCUGUAUCUUUGGGUCGUCAUUCUGAAGGCUCCCAUGUUAUGUAAAACUAUGAUCAAAUAAAUAUGCAUGCCUUUUCUCCUAUAA
rnacentral:lncRNA from 1 species